GACCCUGGGAUCAAGGAUCUUCUGGUGAGAGCCUUGUUCAUAGGCAGCCUGCAUGGCAGGAGGGAUGAGGAAACUGAAUCAUAAAGACAUUAUGUGAAAAUAUGUUCAAGUGCUUAGAAACGAAGCUAGUGUCACAGACUUCAUCUCAAUAAAUAUGUAGCUCUAUACAAAACCGAAAAUAAUAAAUAGAAACUUCCAUCCUGUUUUACUAGGAUACUUUUCUAAUGUCAAGCACUGGUGUG